ACAAACUUGGUCAUUUAGAGGAAGUAAAAGUCGUAACAAGGUCUCCGUUGGUGAACCAGCGGAGGGAUCAUUACCGAGUUUACAACUCCCAAACCCCAUGUGAACGAUACCGUUUCUGUUGCCUCGGCGGGAUCGCCCCGGGCGCGGGCUCUCGAGAGAGGCCCAGCCCCGGACCCAGGCGCCCGCCGGAGGACCCCCAAACUCUUCUGUAUUUUAUAGCGGAUUUUCUGAGCCCCGCGCUCUCUUUUGGGCGGAGGGGAAAAAAACAAAAAUGAAUCAAAACUUUCAACAACGGAUCUCUUGGUUCUGGCAUCGAUGAAGAACGCAGC
rnacentral:misc_RNA from 1 species